rnacentral:rRNA from 1 species
UACGUAGGGGGCAAGCGUUGUCCGGAAUUAUUGGGCGUAAAGAGCGUGUAGGCGGUCAGGUAGGUCCGUUGUGAAAACUCGAGGCUCAACCUCGAGACGCCGAUGGAAACCAUCUGACUAGAGUCCGGAAGAGGAGAGUGGAAUUCCUGGUGUAGCGGUGAAAUGCGCAGAUAUCAGGAGGAACACCGGUGGCGAAGGCGGGUCUCUGGGCCGAUACUGACGCUGAGGAGCGAAAGCGUGGGGAGCGAACAGG